ensembl:snoRNA SNORD116 Small nucleolar RNA SNORD116
CGAUCAAUGAUGACUCUUAAAUAUACAUUCCUUGGAAAUCUGAACAAAAUGAGUGAAAAAUCUCAACCGUUGUCCUCAUCAAACUGAGGUCC